rnacentral:rRNA from 1 species
CCUACGUGUGGCAGCAGUGAGGAAUAUUGGUCAAUGGACGCAAGUCUGAACCAGCCAUGCAGCGUGCAGGAAGACGGCCCUAUGAGUUGUAAACUGCUUUUGUACGAGGGUAAAUCCCGAUACGUGUAUCGGGUUGAAAGUAUCGUACGAAUAAGGAUCGGCUAAUUCCGUGCCAGCAGCCGCGGUAAUACGGAGGAUUCAAGCGUUAUCCGGAUUUAUUGGGUUUAAAGGGAGCGUAGGCGGUGCGUUAAGUUAGAGGUGAAAUCCCGGGGCUCAACUCCGGCAUUGCCGCGGUUACUGGCGGGCGUGAGUUUGGUGACAGUAGGCGGAAUGUAUGGUGUAGCGGUGAAAUGCAUAGAGAUGAUACAGAACACCGAUUGCGAAGGCAGCUUACCAAAGUACGACUGACGUUGAGGCACGAAAGCGUGGGGAGCGAACAGGAUUAGAUACCCGUGUAGUC